CGUACGGUCGGCGGCGGGCGUCCCGAUCCUCGCCUGGGGCGGAGAGGGGAGCGCGCGUCCCCCUCCGCCGCAUUCCGUCCGUCCCAUUCACUGCUCGCUCGCGGUGUGCGGAGAGCCGACGGAAGUGUCGAGUGUGUGCCGUGCGGUGUCGUCUGCCGUCUCUUCUUCCGACCUGAAGGAACGCAGGAUGCGAGGAUCGUCGGGCGACACCACCACUCGAGAUUCGUAGAUCGAUGGACGGAGCGGCAGCCGCGACGCGACGACGUGUGUCGUAAUGUGACGGGAUGUGACCCGGAAAUGGCUGUGUAUUUAUCCCAGAAAUACAUUUAUUCCGAA
rnacentral:lncRNA from 1 species